rnacentral:rRNA from 1 species
GACGUAGGGCGCGAGCGUUGUCCGGAUUUAUUGGGCGUAAAGGGCUCGUAGGUGGCCAACUAAGUCAGACGUGAAAUCCCUCGGCUUAACCGGGGAACUGCGUCUGAUACUGGAUGGCUUGAGGUUGGGAGAGGGAUGCGGAAUUCCAGGUGUAGCGGUGAAAUGCGUAGAUAUCUGGAGGAACACCGGUGGCGAAGGCGGCAUCCUGGACCAAUUCUGACGCUGAGGAGCGAAAGCCAGGGGAGCAAACGGG